rnacentral:rRNA from 1 species
UACGGAGGGUGCAAGCGUUAUCCGGAUUCACUGGGUUUAAAGGGUGCGUAGGCGGACAGGUAAGUCAGUGGUGAAAUCUCCGGGCUUAACUCGGAAACUGCCGUUGAUACUAUCUGUCUUGAAUAUCAUGGAGGUAAGCAGAAUAUGUCAUGUAGCGGUGAAAUGCUUAGAUAUGACAUAGAACACCAAUUGCGUAGGCAGCUUACUACACGAUCAUUGACGCUGAGGCACGAAAGCGUGGGGAGCAAACAGG